GAAAAUCCGUUGACUUUUAAAAUCGUGAGGGUUCAAGUCCCUCUAUCCCCA
rnacentral:tRNA from 6 species